GGUGGACACGUGUGUUGGUUGUCUACCUGGGUUACCACCACUACACCGGGGUUACCAGGUGUCAUCCACCGCUUCAUUCAGAAGUAAUACGUGUUCUGUACACGUGAGCAACCACCGCCCCAAAAAUCCAAUCGUGUCACAGUUUGCUUUUCCAAACUACCCUCUCACCAUUUCCUUCCUAUGCUCUCUAUCUCUCUUCUUCCCUGUUCCACCGACGGUUACUCCUAAUUGAUAUUCCAUUUCUUCCUUAUCAGGUCGAUAUCCACUACACCCCCAUCAUCUGUCACACUCCCUCUCCGAUAUUCAACCUUCCCAAUUGAUCGGCGGUGGCUAAGUCAUCGGAAACUCCACAGUUUUAGACGGGCGUUCAAGAAGAAGUCCACAAUUCAAGGUGGGAAGAAGACGGUGGACCAUUGUUACCAUACCCAGCCACCUAUAUCUCUACCGUUGCUGCCUAACAAAAGCCCUAAAAUCGAUUUCAGUUGCUCGCGUCUCCUCUUUGUUGCAUAACAUUUCAGCUUUUCAGGGAAACAACAUCGAUGAUGCAAGCGUAUGUAACUCCAUGCCGUACAAAGCACUGGAGGAAACAGAGUAAAGUUGGUAUUCUAUUCAGCUUAUUCGAGAAGAAGCCUGGAAGUCAACACUAUUAUCAACGAUAUCAAGAUGUUCAACUUGAAAAAAUUGGGUUUUAGAAACUGUUACUAUGUGGAAGGAAAGUGCACAUGAGGUGUUUGUGGAAAUGCCCAAAAAAGAAGCCGUUAACUUUAUUGGGAGCAUUGACUUGGAUUUUCAUUAGUCAAGAAACCAUAAGUGUACACCUACAGUUUCUGAAAUGCAGAGAGUCAUGGUUAUGUGGAAUUCUUGAUGACUUAGAUCAGAGAAAUGCCUAUGAAUACCUAAAAGGGAUGGUAAACUGUCACAUAAUGCAUCUGUUUGAUAUUCACAACCAAUAUUGUGCCAUAUUUGUUGAUGACACAUCAGGAAGUGAGGAGAAUUAUGUCCGUGUUGAUGUUAUGCAUAUAUGUGCUUCUAAAUUUUGUUUAUUUUUUUUUCUUAUUUUUGAACGCAUCAUCUUUGGAAUAUUAACAGACUGCAAGAAGUAGGCGAAUGAGGUGUAGACUCCCAACAUAAAAGAGAGGGUUCGGCAAAAGAAAGAUCAGGCACUGUAUGGGUUUGGGUUUGCUGAAGGUGAUAAAUAGGUAGUAUGGCUUUAUAUUUUUUAUUGACAUCGUUGAUCUAUGUAGAAUGUAGAUUCAUAGAUCUAUUUCUUUUCUCAGCUUAGAUUAUUGAUACUUGAGGUACAUAUUUUAAAUAUACGAAUUCAUUACAAAUUAGUAAAAAAAAUUACAUGCAGCCGACAAAAUCCUAACAGUGUCUAUUUUUGCUCUUUUGACAGUCAAUUUCUCUUAAUGGUGCUAACUACAUGGCGUUCCAUUGCCUCCAAAAUUUGAGUCACGCUUACGUAGAUAGGAGCCUGUUAAGGUGAACCUAUGCUUGAUUCGUAUAACAAAGGUGAAAUACGUUGUGAACAACCAAACAAUACAUUCUAUACCUUCAUUUGAAAUCUACUACUUCAAAAACAAAUUUCACAGCUUGCAAGUUAAUUAAGACUCGCAUGAAAAAAUUUGUUAUCAGUUUAGAAACAAUGCAAUCAAGGGUGUUGAUCGUAGAGUAAGAGCCUUAAACUAUAUCUUUUACAAAAAAACAAAAGAGGUCAAUAUAAAGUCAAACUCUUCCUACAAGGCGAUCAAGUGGAAAUUGAUCUAUUUCUAAGACAAACAGUGAAAAAAUGAACUCACAAGUGCUAUAAAAAAAGAACAAAGUAUCAUUCAUGGUUCAACUGGGCACAUAUUGUCCUUUUUGAUAUAUGGAAAGUGUUUGAUUUAUGCUUUAGACCCAAGUAUGUGGUCAAAAUUUCUUUGUUUUAGCUUAGGUUGCAAUUCUAUUGUCUGUUAUCGUGUUCAUAGGUAUAUGAUUACUAAUACUCAACUGAUUUUUAGAAAAUUGUAUUGAAACAUUGUCCAUAUUUCUAUACUGCUUAUGUUUGUUUUAUAGGGUA